rnacentral:rRNA from 1 species
AUUGAACGCUGGCGGCAUGCUUUACACAUGCAAGUCGAACGGUAACAGGGACUUCGGUCUGCUGACGAGUGGCGAACGGGUGAGUAACAUAUCGGAACGUGCCCAGUAAUGGGGGAUAGCUCGGCGAAAGCCGGAUUAAUACCGCAUACGCCCUGAGGGGGAAAGUGGGGGAUCUUCGGACCUCACGUUAUUGGAGCGGCCGAUAUCGGAUUAGCUAGUUGGUGGGGUAAAGGCCUACCAAGGCGACGAUCCGUAGCUGGUCUGAGAGGAUGAUCAGCCACACUGGGACUGAGACACGGCCCAGACUCCUACGGGAGGCAGCAGUGGGGAAUUUUGGACAAUGGGCGAAAGCCUGAUCCAGCCAUGCCGCGUGAGUGAAGAAGGCCUUCGGGUUGUAAAGCUCUUUCAGGUGGAAAGAAAGCGGAUGGGCUAAUACCCUGUUCGGAUGACGGUACCACCAGAAGAAGCACCGGCUAACUACGUGCCAGCAGCCGCGGUAA